AAGCGUGCGCAGGCGGUUAUGUAAGACAGAUGUGAAAUCCCCGGGCUCAACCUGGGAACUGCAUUUGUGACUGCAUGGCUAGAGUACGGUAGAGGGGGAUGGAAUUCCGCGUGUAGCAGUGAAAUGCGUAGAUAUGCGGAGGAACACCGAUGGCGAAGGCAAUCCCCUGGACCUGUACUGACGCUCAUGCACGAAAGCGGUGGGGAGCAAACAGGAUUAGAUACCCCGGU
rnacentral:rRNA from 1 species